rnacentral:rRNA from 1 species
UACGGAGGGUGCGAGCGUUGUCCGGAAUCACUGGGCGUAAAGGGCGUGUAGGCGGCAGGCCAAGCGUGCGGUGAAAGUCCGGGGCUCAACCCCGGAUCUGCCGUGCGGACUGGUUUGCUAGAGCACUGUAGAGGCGAGUGGAAUUCCGGGUGUAGCGGUGGAAUGCGUAGAGAUCCGGAAGAACACCGGUGGCGAAGGCGGCUCGCUGGGCAGUGGCUGACGCUGAGGCGCGACAGCGUGGGGAGCAAACAGG